CAAGUUUCCUAACUCAACUUGAGUUAUUAUUUUCAAAGCAUGUUAGUGAAUAAUUAUUGAUGAUUAUUCACGUCUUUAUUGAUUAUUGAAAUUCGCACUUUGUGCAAUCGAAUUCCGUUCUACUGCCAUUGAACUGUGAAUUAAAUUAAAGUUCUUCAUUUAUGAACUGUUUAUGGGAUAGAUCUAUGCUAAUUGUAUCAGCUAGAUCAAGCAUGUCUAAAUUUGUUAAAUUAAAUGGGUUUUAAAUAAUUGUUCUUAUUAAUUGAUAUGGUAAGAACUCUUGACUGAG
rnacentral:lncRNA from 1 species